AUGGGGAGGUUGAACAUCUUGCCUAGUGCUGACAGGAAAUCUCUAUUUUAUACUAAGAAGGGCAGGCUGGUUGCAUAUGUAGGAUGUCUCAUCUCCCUGCCCAUUUCAUCA
rfam:Pteropus alecto contig66340, whole genome shotgun sequence.